CUUUUUUUCAUCUCUCCUCCUUGCUGCUCAACCCGACCGCAUGUCUCACCUCAGAGGCUCAUGAUCCAAACUGAAAAGGUACUUCCCAUCAAGUGGGUGUAAGGGGAGAACGCAAAAAGGACCUCAGCUAUGCACUGGAACUAUGUUUCUGUACUGUCCAAACAGCCGGUGUCUCAUUGCUCUUGUCGCACAGGAGUUACAUGUUUGGGGAGUGGAAGUGGAAAUUCUCAAAGAGGUGGUGACUGUUGCAUGCUGUCCUGCUGCAGAUGGUAAUCACAGAAGUGUGAGAAACAGACAAGAGUGCUACAGGCAUUUGGAUAAAACUGAGUAAAUGACAAAUUGUAGCACAUCUGAAUAACACUGGAUCUGACCACCAGACAAUGAGUUUACGCCAUUUUGACUGCUUGUUUAACUCACAUUCUUACUCCCUGGCAUACAGCAUGAUAUUUGGUAGGUCUUGACUUCUCUUCCUUGCAGAGUAUAGUCUCUGUUGAGCUAAGAAUGAUGAAUAAAAGAUUGUAUCAGUUUAUGCUAUGCUGUUACUUCUAGUUGCCACUUUUGUGUGCCUUUGGCCAAAAUCCAUCCCUGGGUGUUAUUUAGUUUUCUUCUCCACCCAGCUGAAGAGCUGCAGCUGUCUCCGCCUGGCCUCAUAGGGGAGGUGCUCCAACCCUUUGGUCAUCUUCAUGGCCCUUCUCUGGACCCAUUCCAACAGUUUGAUGUCCUUCUUGUGACAGGAGCACCAGAACUGGAUCCACUACUCCAGGUGGGGUCUCAUGAGAGCAUCUGGAGUAUUGUGUCCAGUUCUGGGGCAUUCUGAGGCCAAUAUCAUGUCUCUUUAUGACUUGCAGAAUCAAACCCUAUAACCACAAAGUAGUUAUAAAGCAAGUAUGUUUUUGUUCGGUGCUGGGUGCAGGGGGGUCACCCCUUCCUCGCCUGCACAUUGAAAGCAGGUAAACAUCUUUAUUUAUAGAAGGAAUACAUGCAUAUUCAUAUAUUAAUGGUAUUUCUAAGACAAGGAGUGGUUAUUAGAAUUACUUCUAGAAGUCUAUUACAAUAUUCCAUGUCCAUUCAACAACCCAAACUCCACCUCUAACUAAUGCUUCUAUGCAUGCUUGGUGCCUCCUGGUGAUUACUCCAGUAGUCAUGGGGAUGAAGGCCAUAUGUCAACCUCGCAGUGUACUUCCGACCCUGGUGUAGUUUGAGGAAGUAUUCCAGCUUCAACUGGUUCAGUUUCUAGGAUGGUUUCUAGGAUGUGGCUCCUUGGACCAACCAGCAGGCUCCUUGGAUUACAGUUGAGAUACCCCAUAUCUUUCCCAUUGUUCGUGCUCAACUACUUUUACAGUUUUAACAAUAUAACAAAUCAGCCCUUUAUUCAUUUAUUAGCUGGAGAAUUUUAUAUAUAUAUGUAUGUAUAUCAUUAUUGCUUAAGAGUUACCAGAAUUUACAAAUAGCUUGCACCUCCUGCAGCUAUCAAGUAAAAUGUUUCAGCUAUCAGAAGAAGAAAUAGUGUUUUGGACAUUUGGACAUUGAUCUCUACCCUCUUAAUUGCAGUACACAAUUGUUUUCGGUCUGCUAGCAUUCACAAUUUAAGCAGUUUUUUUUUUUGUUUUUUUUUUUUCCCCUCAACUAUGACAGUCAGCAACCCAAUUCAUCCUAAAAUC
ensembl:lncRNA